AAUGUACUACAGUAUCCAGAAGAGGGUAGGAGGUAUGAGAGAAAAUAGUAGGAAUAAAAGGGAAGAGGACAUUAUUUCAAGAAUGAGAUUUGGGCAUACUGGAUUGAAUAGUACGCUUAAAUUAAUAGGGAAGCAUGAAACUGGGAUGUGUGAGGUCUGUAAUAUUAACGAAACAGUAGAACAUGUAAUUAUUAAUUGUCAUAAGUAUAAGGAGGAAAGGAUGAGCCUGAAAGACUGGUUUAGAAAAGAAAAAAUUAGAUUUGAAAUGAAGGAACUAUUACAAAUGAAUUCAGGGCAUGUAGGGUAUAUAGAGCGAUAUUUGUGUUUUUGAGUAAUACAGGGCUUAGUAGAAGGAUAUGAGUUUAGUUUCCUUAGAAAAAUUUUUUUAUUUAUUAAUAAUGAAAAUGUAUGAAUAUUAAUAAUGUUAUUAGAUAUUUAUGAAGUUAUUUAUUGGUUUUAUUAUGGAUGUAUGUAGGUAUUUAUAUAUUUAUUUCAAGGGUAGUGAGGAAAGGCUAUUGUGAUCCACACUCCAUAUCAGAAGGUGGCGGUAAUGCACACUUAAAAGUUGUUUGCCAACCGCCAUUAAAAGAAAGAAGAAGAAGAAGAAGAAGAGGUUGUUACCCAUCCUACCAACCACCAGAGAGAUCCCUCUCCCAAAUACUGAUCUUCACCCAUUUCUUCACUGCUCAUUUCCUGUUUACCAUGUGUGUGUGUGUAUAGCCAUGCAGUUCCAUUGUUCUGUGCAAAGUAUUGUCAGUUUACCCUGCCUUACAGAGCGUUUUUUCCACUGCCAUUGUUUCUUGAUUCAUGUUAUGACCAUUGCCUGUUUUUCUGGCUUUACUACUUUUUGGAUAACCCUUUGUUUUGUUUGCCUGUUUGUACUGUCUAUUUGGUUUAUUGGAUUUAUCUGCCUGCUUUAUGACUAGGUCUCUCUGCCUGCUGUUUUCGAUUGUUUGCUUGUGUCUCUUUUAACAAACUUCCUGCACAUAGAUCCUAACACCAUCUUCAUGGCCAGUUUGUUACUGAAUACUUCGCCUCACAUGGAUCCAGCGGAAGUCUCACAGCUCAAGACUGCAUUUCUACACCAGUGCAAGGUUUUUAAGGGUUUUCAAGACCAGCCGAACAACCUACCAGCUGCCAAGUUUGACUCACUGCAUUCACUCACUGCCAGCUAAACCGCACUCGACUGGGCUGCCACUCUUUGGGACAAAGAUCCUCAUAUCCAUCAAUACCUCGUUUGAGUACUUUGUUCAACAGAUCUUAGAGUAGUCUUAGAGUAUCCAGCGGGUGGUCAAGAUAUCUCUGUUCAGCUGCUUCAUUUAUGCCUGGGCCAUCGAUCUGCAGCAGACUAUGCAAUUCUGUUCAGGACGCUAGUGGCGCUAAGUGGGUGGAAUGAUAUUGCUCUGAAAACUGUUUUCUGUGAGGGGCUUCACCAAGAACUCAAGACGGAUCUGACAUGCAAAGGACAGUUCUACUCUGUCAGAAUUUAUUACCAUGGCUAUCAAGAUGGACAACCUGCUUCGUAAUGCUCCACAGCCACAGUUUCACUCUGCUUCUAUGUCUACAGUCUCAGUACAGGCUCAGGCAUCCACUGAAUCACUCGAACUUAUGCAAGUUGUUAACACCCGUAUUUCUAUGGAGGAAACGUUGUUAAUUUGACAUAAUGAAAGACUUGCUAUUACUAUGGUGAACCAGGUCAUCUCAAUGCUGCAUGCCCACACAAGAAAUCCAGUUCCCCAGAAUCAAGGCUGAAACUCUAGUGGAUUCUGGGGCUGCUGUGAAUCUCAGAAAUCAAGAGAUCGUACAAGAAUUCAAUAUAUCCACCAUUCAAUGCAUUCCAACGAUUAAUAUCACCACAGUUGACAACGCUCCCAUUGGUACUGGAAUAACCCAACAAACUGUUCCCAUAACCAUCAAGAUUGGACCAUUUCACAUGGAGAAAAUUUCACUAUGUCAUAAACUCACCCAAUCAUGCUCUUAUCCUGGGUCAUCCUUGGCUGGCCAUCCAUAACCCUUCUAUAUCCUGGAACCAGGGAAACCUCACACAAUGGUCAAGUUUCUGUCAUGAAUGUUGUCUCCAUGUUGCUGUCUCCAUGACUUGUCUUACCACCAGCAUAGAAAAUCCUGAAUUCCACACAGUAAAUCUGAUUCCAGAGGAGUUUUUAGUAAAGUCAAAGCUACUCCACUUCCUCCUCACCAUCUAUGGGACUACGUCAUUGAACUUCUGCCUAAUACAGCUCCACCAAGAUGGAAACUUACAUCGAGGAAGCCCUUGCCUCCGGUUAAACGUCCCUCCACCUCUCAAGCAGCUGCAGGUGUUUUCUUUGUGGAGAAAAAAGGAUGGAGGUCUACGGCCAUGUAUCGACUAUUGAGGCCUGAACUAUUAUCACCUUGAUAAACAUUACCCAAUGCCACUUAUCCCCUCAGCCCUUGAACAACUCUGUGAGCUUGAUCUACGAAGUGCUUAUAACCUCAUCAGAAUCAGAGAAGGAUGAAUAUCUGUUCAUGUCAUAUGGACUUGCUGACGCCCCCUCUGUUUUCCAGUCUUUUGUCACUGAGAUUUUCAGAGACCUACUGAAUCAGUGUGUGGUGGCUUACAUUGAUGACAUCCUCACCUACUCUCAAAACAAAGAACAAUCCAGCAUGUCAGGACAGUCCAAUCAUGUCUCCAGGAUCACCAGAUAUUUGUCAAGGCAGAGAAAUGUGAGUUUCAUGUCUCCCAUACCAUGUUACUAGGUUACAAUAUCAGCCACCAAAGUGUAGAAACGGAUGUCUCUAAAAAUCACAGCAGUUACCGAAUGGACUCGACCUUCCACAAUCAAAGAAUUACAGCUAUUUCUGGGCUUUGCCAAUUUCUACUGCCACUUCAUAAGGAACUACAGUGUCAUUGCAGCACCACUCACAUCAUUGCUCAAGGGAAAACCCAACAAGUUGCCAUGGAACGAUGCCGCAAACCAUGCCUUCGUCUCCCUCAAGUCAAGCUUCACAACCGCUCCUAUACUGAAACACCCUGACCCCAAUAUUCCUUUCGUCGAAGUAGACACUUCAGAUUGUGGGAUUGGAGAGGUCCUGUCACAACGUCACGGUACCCAAGGCAAGCUUUACCUUUGUGCAUUCUUCUCCAGAAAUUUAAAUUCAGCUGAAUGAAACUAUAAUGUGUGGCACAAGGAAUUACUUUCCAGGAAGGCAGCACUCGAAGAGUGGCCUCACUGGUUAGAAGAAGCAGUCCACCCGUUCCAAGUUAUCAAUUUUACAGUCAAUUACCACCCUGGCAGCAAGAAUAGCAAAGCAGAUGCACUUUCACGCAGGCAUGAUCAACCCCACCUCCAACCUCAUCCUGGAUCCAUUCUGCCACCAUCUGUCAUAAUUGCACAGAUCCUCAUUUGGGACAUCAUAAAAGAAAUACAAGCACAACAGCAUGAACCGUCACCAACUAACUGCCCCCCAACCAAGCACUUUGUAUCACAAGCUCUAUGUCUGAGAACUAUCCAAUGGGUCAAAUCCAAAAUCGACACUCGGACCAUUAACUUGGACCUUUCUCCUCUAAUCUCAGAGCUAGUUAAUAUAUCCUCCUCAAAACAACUGCUCCCCAAAAUAUAUAGAAUAAUAUAAAAAUCAGGAAACACAUUAAGCUUACCAAAUGCUAAAUGGGAAUCCAUUGCUCCUGAUGCCUAUUUCUGGGCAAAAUCUGCACAAAUAUCUACUUCAUGACAAAAAAUGCCAACCUGCAACUUAUACAGUUUUAAGUACUUCAUAGAUUUCACCUGACUGAACAGAAAUUGUUUAAAAUGGGAUUUACCUCAGAAACCUGCUCACAUUGCACUCAAAAUAACCCAGACACCCAUGUUCACGCCAUUUGGCAUUGCACCCCAAUUAAACCUUUUUGGGAAAUCUUCACUUCUUUACAGUUGGUCAUUAAAAUGAUCUUUAUAUAAUUGUACAAAAUUAUGUAUUUUUAAAAAACAUUAUUACAAUGUAUUAAAUAUUAUAUAUGUUUUUAUAUUAAUAAAAUUUAGAUUUUAUUUUUAUAUUAAAUGUAAAAAACAUUAAAAAGGCUCAUAUCUCGAUUUAAAGA